GUAAGGUAAGUUAAAUAAACUAUUGGGCUCAUGCUCCAACUAUAGAGAUGAAACUUCUCUCUUUACCC
rnacentral:tRNA from 1 species